rnacentral:rRNA from 1 species
UACGUAGGGGCCUAGCGUUGUCCGGAUUUAUUGGGCGUAAAGAGCUCGUAGGCGGUUUGGUAAGUCGGGUGUGAAAUCUCCACGCUCAACGUGGAGGGGCCACCCGAUACUGCCAUGACUGGAGUCCGGUAGGGGAGUGUGGAAUUCCCGGUGUAGCGGUGAAAUGCGCAGAUAUCGGGAGGAACACCGGUGGCGAAGGCGGUUCUCUGGGCCUGUUCUGACGCUGAGGAGCGAAAGCGUGGGGAGCGAACAGG